GUUGCGUAAGAUAGCAAGCCUCUUAGUGGAGAACUUAUUUCAGAGAUUUCAAUCUUUUGCUAGGACUGCUUCAUUGGAGAAAAAUGAUGUCGUGCGCCGUUCUUGUGCUUUUGGUGCUCUUUGCCAGUGUUGCCAUAGAAGACACAGCCGGGCAAAUUGCGUAUGAAGCUACGUGCAACUGCUGUGGUCAGACUUGUAGUAGCGACCAUGGGAGUUGCUACUGCGUCGGAACGUACCCCAACUGCCGCUGUGGUGCAAUCGAUCACACGAAAUAAAAGAAUAGCCAGCCUCUCGUCGAGAGGAAGCUUGACCAGUUGAACAUACAGAAGAAAACAAGAAACUAGUCACUCAGCUAAAUGUAAAGCUGGUGUAUUUGGACAUUUUUGUGAAUUUAGAGUUCAACAAUAAGUGGUCAUAAUAAAGCUUGUAGUAAACACGCUGUAUUUACUGCAUAGCCAAAGCUUUAA